rnacentral:rRNA from 1 species
UCUGGGAAACUGCCUGAUGAGGGGGAUAACUGCUGGAAACGGUAGCUAAUACCGCAUAAUGUCGCAAGACCAAAGUGGGGGACCUUCGGGCCUCAUGCCAUCAGAUGUGCCCAGAUGGGAUUAGCUAGUAGGUGGGGUAAUGGCUCACCUAGGCGACGAUCCCUAGCUGGUCUGAGAGGAUGACCAGCCACACUGGAACUGAGACACGGUCCAG